ACAAAAAAUUGCAUUUCAGUAAAAGUUAAUUUAAUAACAACUGUAAGUAAAAUAGUUCUGAUUCCUUUAGGUCAUUUUUAGAAUCAUGGAUAAUUUAUGCUGGAAGGGACCUUUUGAGGUCAUCUAGUCCAAACCCCUUCUCAAAGCGUGUCUCAUUCCAUCAGAUUGCUCGUGGCUGAACUGAACCCUCCGGAGAUGGAGAUUCUACAGCCUCUGCUGAAUGCUGACAGCUGCAACACAUUGGUCUCAGGUCAGAAGAGCCAGGAGAGCAGUUGCAAUUACUUUCCCAGCAAAGCUCUGCUUCAGGAAACACAUCUCGGAGACACGGUGUGUCCCUGAUACCUCGGUCCCAGUCACUUGCAGAAGAAAGGUUCUGACCCAGACCGGUGCUGGCAGCCUCUCCUUCCACCUCCCUGGGACACCCCUGCUGUGCUAGCGCAGCAGGCCGAGGCUGUGAGGCUGUGAGGCUGUGAGGCUGGCUGUCGGGGCCGCGGGCAGGCGGUGGGACCACACCUGACAGGAGGAGAUGUGAGAAACUGCUGGCCAUGGCGCAAGAAAUGGCUGGACCAGGCAGACCAUAGGGUGAGAAACUGACAAAUUUACAUAUGGGGCUGUGAGGAAUUCACAGGUGGGCUAAGGGGGGGUUAUGUGAGAAACAGCUGAAUUUCA
rnacentral:lncRNA from 1 species